CCUCUUCUUCAGCCGCCUCCCCACUUCAGGGGGUUUUUAUUUCAAUAGUCUCUUUUUCAAAGAGGGGGGCCUCAUCAAGAGCCAUUUUAUCAACUUCUCUCGUUACUGGAGGCCUAUUUAUUCAUGACCUCUUCCUUGAGAGAGGGAGCCUCAUCAAGGGCCUCGUCUUCAGUCGCUCCCAUAGUUCUGGGCGGCUACUCUUGUACCACCUCUCCUGUGAUAGUGGUGGGACCCGCGGUGCGCGACUAGGACAUUUGCUGGUCCUAGGGGCUAUAUCCUCUUCUGUGCUCAUUUUUUCUCUAGGUUUCGAUCCCAAAUUUUGUCCAAGUUAUAAGGCUUUAUCUUGUUUUUUUUCAAGAACAAAUCAUUUUUUCAAGGGGAUGCCCAAAUGUUUCUCUUCGGUAAGCUUUUACCACAAGGUUGUUCGUGGUUAUAGUAUGAUUUUUCAUAGAUAACGCCAAUCUGUUGACCCCAGAAUAUGUUGACAACAGAUACCGGACCCAUCCGCGCACACGUAAGCCUGGUCCAACAAGUUAAGACACGUGGACGGUCUGGAAAUAAUAACAAAAGGGGGCGUGGGAACGGCUCAAAGAUGCGAAACGAGAACGUUCGAAAUCCAGCAAGAUAUUUGCAUAACGAUUGUACAAUAAUUACUAAUUGAUCUUUGUAGAAUACAUGUAUGAAUUAGUGUGUAAACUCGUAUUGUGUUGCAAGAUAAUAAGAGAGAGUUGAGUAAAGUGUUAUUCCUC
rnacentral:lncRNA from 1 species